GGCUUCAUGGUCUAGUGGUAUGAUUCUUGCUUUGGGCUUCCACCUAAAUUGCAAGAGGCCCCGCGGUAAGUUUCAAUUGCUGUAGUGAUUCAAAUCCAGCCCUAAUCUGGAUUAGUUCGAAUCGCGGUGGAGCCC